GGUGGGUGUUAGGGAGAUUGGUAGGAGCCCUUCCUUCGGGCCAGAUCACUUUGGUUCUCUGGGUGAUGAAGUGUUGAAGGCAUUUUAAGCCUUAGCUGCUGUGCAAGGGUGUGAUGAGAAGUUUCUCAGAUUUGCUUGUGAACUGAGAAAUCAGAGAUCUGCAGAAAAUAACAGCACCGGCUGGCUCUGCUCAACGCCAGCAGGAUCAUGACAAAACCAAAGGCUGUUCCUGCCUGGUGCUGGCACCUACUGCGCUGAAGUGAGACAGCAAUUCUUCCUGCAUGACAGAAGGCAGGGUCUGGUCCAGCACCCAAAAAGAGUCCAGGAGUGUUUGGGUUUCAGGCAAGUUUGAGGAAUGGCUUCAUCCCAUCUCUUUAGCCUAGAGAAUGAGCAUGCAGCAGGAAAACUGGGCUCUGCAUCUAAUGAACAUGGACAUGAGAAAUUGCAGGGAACUGAGUCAUUUGGCCACCUUGCAAGAUAGUGUUUAAGACUAUUGCUUCAUUAAGUACCCUGGGGCCUCCAAGCCCGUCUAGUUGGCUCUCCCAAAGUCCUAGGGAGCUGUUUCUUACAUGGGCUGCUUUAACCUUUUAUGGUCCUCCAAUCCCACUCCACUCAAAGCUUUUCCAAGGCUCUGUGGAGGGGACCUGAUGGGUUUGUACUGCAGAAAUACUCCAGCCAGCCUGAUCAGAGGUGGCUGCAGGAUGUGGCAGCUCCCUCCCACCCCUCAUUGCCCCCACAGAUGUUGGGGUGUAAAUAAGUAAAUGGGGAGAGGUGCAAGUGCUCAGCUUCUGCCCUGCUGGGGAGUUGAGAUGAGUGCAGGACAGGUGGCCUGCUCCGGAGCCGGGAGCUGCUGCCAGAUCGGGCAGUUUAGAUGUUUAGAUGUAACUUCAAAGGAUGAGGUAGAUCUGAGCAAGCAGUGAGCUUCAGUCAUCUUAAAAUUAUUGCACACUUAAAGAAGGAGAGAUGUUGGAGGCAGCUCUGACCAGGCAUGAGACUGGAAAUCAGCUAAAAAAAACUCCUUAAAAAAAAAAAAAAAGCCCACAAACCCUCACAGCCUGUAUUUUCUAUGGAAACUGUAAAAGGAGUCCCUGAGCAACAAUUGCUCUGUCUGCUGUAGCAUUUCAGAAACAUGCCCUGGAAAGUCUACUGUCUCCUAAUAGCUCACUGGCUACUAAAUGUAAAUGGCCAAGAUUUAUUUGGGGUGAGGGAGAUGAAAGGGAGUCAAGUUUAUAGUCUCUUUGCAUUUUGGUUUGUAACAACCCCAGGCUCAGGCAAAUGGAACUGCCUGCAGAGACUCUCCUGCUCUGGAUAAACUUGCAAAGCCAGAACCGCAGUGAGAAAGGGCAGGGUUUUGUUCUCUCGAUACCAUUUACUGACAUUCCCAAACGUUCACAUGGCUGUUGUUACAGCCCUUGGUGCUGUAGUGUUUGAGUGUCUCUCAAGCACUAAUUAAAGGAAUGAAUCCUCCAGACAUCCCAGCCACUGUGCAGAGCUGUCGGCUAUGGUAGAUGAAUGCUGGUUUGACCCAGGGGAUGCUGACGCUGUUCAUUAAGCUACUGACUGCAUCCAAGCUUCAGCCCUUGCUUGGAAAUGAUCCGAACUACUUAGAGUCCUGCUCUCGCCUGAUGCCUUCUUGGAGUGUGCUCGCGAGUCCUGGAGGAGCUGGAUGCUGCCAUUGCUGGAGUUUUCCCGUAAAUGCAGCUUGGGCUGGAAACCAUGUGGAAAUUCCCAGAACUAGCAGCAGUGGUUUCGAUAUCCCAGAUUACCUUUGUGCUGGGGCAGGGAAGGUGUGCUCCUGUACUUACGUGUGUGUCAGGGGGGCUGGGAAAUGCUCCUCUCCUGGUCUUUAGCACUUCGGGGAUGUUUGUACUGAGGGGCAGUGGGAACAAGUUGGGAAGUUAUGGAGCUGUGGCCUCCAACCCAGGUAAAUGAGUGAUGUGAUAAUGCUGUGGCCCAAGAGUCAGAAGUGUUAAAGCCCUCAUGUUUGAGAUAGGAUCAGCAGCUUGAAGGAGGAAAUCAUACGUACACCAUGACCUGACCAGUGUCUCCUGAAGACCAAUUGAUAUCCUGCCACCCUUAAAACUGGUGCAACUUGUAGGAGGGGAAAACCUGAUAGACACCCAUAAAAUGGGGCAAACUGACCUCCAGAGAUGCCCCUUUCUGGUCAUUAAUCCAAACACUUGGACUCCUUACAAGCUGCAGAGAGAAAAAGGGGUGAUGUGAAUCCCACCCAGAGUUUUGAAAGGUAGCUGCUCUGAUUUAAAGCUCCAAGCAACCAAAAGCCUAGGGUGUCUCAAGGUGCAUGGUUUCAGCAGUGAAUUCCCCACACUGUCAGAAGACUUCCAUUUCAUUUCAGUACUGAAUUUGCCUCCUUUUGGCUUCUGACUCUUGGAUUUCAUUAUUCAGUCAUCAGCUGGCUGAUUAAAGAGCUGUCUCCUAUCAAAAAUCUCUUUUCUGUGCAGGUACUUGUGGGCUGUGAUCAAGUCACCUCUUAACCUUCUCCUGGAUAAGCUAUUAGCUUGAGAUACUUAUGGCAGGUUUCCCAGACCUCAAACUGUACUUAUAGCUCUUUCCUGAACCGCUUCCAAUUUUCCUUUUUAUUUUUUUUUCCUCUCCCCAAUGCCUUUUCUGAAAUGGGGACACCAAAAUGCGACAGUGCCUCUGGUCAGGUCUCACAGCUACCAUGACAUGAGUAAAGGACGUGCCACCUUCCUUCUCGUACUGGCUUGUUUAUAUUCAAGGGCUGAUGCUGGGAACUGUAUUGUCUGUGACCCCAAGAAUGUCUCGGGAUUUGAGACUCACUGGGAAUGUACUUGCUGAAUAUGACCUACUUUUCCUUGUUCCUGGAAUUUCAGCCCGGUAAGAGGAAAGCCAGCCCCUGGUUGGGGCAGACAGGUCUUGAUGAGGCCAAGGUUCAGCUCCCUGCCUGCCAGAGGCUCCUGGAGCAAGCCCAGUGGAGUCCUUUGGGGCCUGAUCGCUGGGGUGCUAGCAUGGAUAUAGCAUGUGUGGGUUCCGAUUUGGGGCAGCCAUGAUCCUGUUGGAGUCCCUUCCAAACCCAUUAGUAUUAAUCUCACCUACUUUCUUCUUUUCUGCCCCCAUGGAAAGGGUGACUUGGAAUGGCACAGAUACAAUGGAGCUGUGGUAGGAAGGGAGUGGGACCUGUUGCAUUAGCUACAGGUACUAGAUAUUUUUUUAACUGCAAUUAAGUGGCAGUAGAUGUUUAUUUGCAUAGUUUAGGUGGAGAUUCCAGAGGAAUAAUGCAAUCUCUUU